AUAUAUGUCGCUGCGGGACAAAAAGAUAAAUUCGAGGACCACAAUUUCGGUUACUUAAAGGAGCAGGGGAACCGCGCAUUCGGCCAACAUCGACGAGGAAGCAUUGUAUGAAGGAGACGUCUUUUAAGGAUCAUAGAUUUUUUGUCAAAUAAGGGCUAAAUGAGCGACAUUUUGUACUGACUGAGGGAUCCAGUCACCACUCGCGACAGCGCAGGAGUAGAAUCAGCACUGGGAAGUCUGACCCCUUUUCUACCGCCAGUGGAGCUUCCGAUUAAAAAGAGCGGCAGUAGUUUGACACUUUAACGGAUCAGCUGCAGUAUAUUACGGUGGAGUGUAGAACGUUACGAUGGAUUGGCGACAAAAGUUUCAGAUAAGUGGCAUUGUGUAAAGAAUAAUGCUGUUGAGUCGACUUAGUUUCCUCAUGCUUUAGCCGUUCGUUUAUCCUGCUCGUGUCUCUUAUCUUUGCAGGUUCUUCAGUGCAUGGCCAGGAGGGUGUCUUCAUUCAGGUGCGCAUCGUCAGGAUCAGCAAGGUCACUGCGUCGAUAGGCGUCGGAUAGCUUAGGAUAUUGAGACGAAGAUAUAAGUUCAUUGCUUUGCAGGUUUUCAAUGGAGCUGAAGAGGGCCUUUCUUCGCUUUUCAUCAAGAAUUUUUAGCCAACCGACUCCUUCAUCUCCGUAUUAUUAAUUUUAUUUAUUUUAUUUUAAAUUUAGUUUCAUAAGUGGAUGUCCCUAAUGUAUAGUAUAAGUCUCAUUAACAUGUCUAUUUUCUCCUCGUCGUUAGAGAAGCUAUUUUGUAGGUAGGUAUUUGGUCCAUGUUCCUCGAUAAUCCUUGUUUUAGCCUAGUUUGAAGUUUACGACUUUUACUUGCCGUUUGUAGAAUUUGUUCCGCCUUUGCCGGCAUUCCUGCGCCAUCGGUUUAGCCUUUUCUGAAUGGUUGCGUCGUGAGUGGAGAAACGCGGUUGGGUAACAUUCCGUCAUUUCUGUUUGGCCUGAAAAGAUUUCGCCACUCUCCUUUUGAGGCUCUCUAGCGAGAGUUUGUGGGAUUCCUCAACGAUUCCUGAGAAAUCUCUAGGGAUUCCUUAGGGAUUGGUACUGAAGUGUAAUAAGAGCGGGAAGAAGAGUGUGGCUGUCUUGUGUUCAAUUUUGCCCCCUUACCCUUGUGUGCGAGGUAUUGGAAUUAAGUACUGAAAUUCCCUGCCCGAAAUUUUCCUCGCGCAAUGUUCGAAAAAAGAAAUAUUACAGGCUUCGUCUAGCGAAGUUUCGAAUACAGAAGUUAAGCCGAAUUCGGACGAAGCUCUGCCGCUUCAUAUUUGUUGUUUUUUUCCAAAUAGUGCAGAGCAGUGCCCGAAAAUGAGACAUAAACUUUUUAGCAAUUCGAUAAAAAUUUACAAGACAUCAAAAAAUACAACAAAUAUCAAAAGGUUUUCCUUUUGCCAGCCAGGACCAUGCACCCCGCAGAAACGAACUUGCACUGCGCUUAAGUCUCUGAAAGCUGCAUACUUUAUCUCAACAUUGUAGCUAUCGAGGCGUUCAU